rnacentral:rRNA from 1 species
UACGGGGGGGGCAAGCGUUGUUCGGAAUUACUGGGCGUAAAGGGUUCGUAGGUGGCCCGCUAAGUCAGACGUGAAAUCCCUCAGCUCAACUGGGGAACUGCGUCUGAGACUGGCAGGCUCGAGUGCAGGAGAGGAACGCGGAAUUCCAGGUGUAGCGGUGAAAUGCGUAGAUAUCUGGAGGAACACCGGUGGCGAAGGCGGCGUUCUGGACCGCAACUGACACUGAGGAACGAAAGCCAGGGGAGCAAACGGG